CAGCCGCCAACCCGCUGGGCAAACCCGCACCGCAUACCCGCAAUACGCCGCAUAGCAGCCCGCGAGAGUGAAACGGGCUUGCGCGGCCAGCCCGCGAGAGCCAGCGGCGCCGCAAAGCCCGCAAAAACAAACCAGAGAAGGCUUCCACCGCUUGCCUGCGCCGCCUCCGCAAGAUUCACUUGCGCCGCCUCGUCCUCCUUCCUGGCUAUGGUCGGAACGACGCCGCGGCCCCCUCCUCCUCCUCCUCCUUGCCGCCGACGCGGCCCCCUCCUCUCCUUCCUCGCAGGCGCCGCCCCGCCCCGCUUGCAUCCCAGGGGACAGGGGAAGGGGAGAGAGGGCGUCCAAGCUGAGAUCGAGAAGAGAGUGCGCCCAUGGCGUCGCCGUCUUGCGCGCCGCCGCCCGCUUGUGUGCUGCUGCCACCAACCGCCGGUGAAUCAACUGUUAUCGGCGCUCCGUUCUCACCUCUUCUUCCCUCUCGUUGUCAUCCUAUCCCCCAACCCCCUCCACAAGAACAAAGAGGAGUCAGUGCAAGUGGUUGCGGCGAUGGUGUGCGCCAAGUGUUGGAAAAAGCUAGGGAAGGACGGCUGGAACAAGGGCACCAGCACAAAUUACUACAAGGCACUGAGUAUUACCUUUAUGAAAUAAAUGUGUUUUCUAUAAUGAGGAGAAAACUGCACCAUUUAUUUGUGUGGUAGCAGCACAAAUUUUGUGCCAUAUCUCUGAAGUGGUUAACAUAAACUGGCUCUUUUAUUUCAAAAAGAAAAAACUGUCCCUCUGACAUCACAUCCAUUGGCUAGUGAUUUUGUUAUAUACUAUGGCUAGUAAUCUUUCUUGUCUGAUAUAUACUAGCAAAUGAGUAAACAUGUCAAUCUUCUAGCACCAAAACGUGAUUUUGUUACUAGCAUCAAUACUACUAUGGUCUGUCUCCACUAUGCACUUUUCUGAUCAUGCACAUUGUUCUUACAGUAGUCAUCUAACCGUCAGCUUGGUGUUCUGAUACUGUCAUUUUGAGGAUCUUUUUUGUAUUAAAAACAGUCUCUUGUUUGUAGGAAGGAUGAAAUAAUAUGCUGCUUGUUCAUCAGUUGAGCAAGUGCAAAGAGUUUGAGUACAGAAUUGUUGGCUACAAGGUGCAUCAAGGGGAUCUUUCCUUUGCAUUUCUGAUUGGGACAACAACCACCCUGUCAAUGAUGCCUCCUGUCUCUCACAUCCGCAAGCCUGAUGAGUAGAAGUGCAAGCGUGGGGUUUCGAUUUUAUAAUGAAGUUUGAUAGUUUUUAUGUUUGAGUCAGUGUCCUAGAAUCUGGGUCAUUUUCUGUGUCCAUCAGUACUAUACUACUAUGGCACCUCUUUAUGACAGAAUUCAUAAUCUGUUUGUAUCUUAGCACUGCUUCGAUCAUGAAUGGUGUUUUCAGCUCUGUUUUUACAGUUAUCUUAACUAUCAGUCGAGUGUGUUGACAGUG